UACGUAGGGGCCAAGCGUUGUCCGGAGUUACUGGGCGUAAAGCGCGCGCAGGCGGCCGCGCAAGCAUGGCGUGAAAGCCCCCGGCUCAACCGGGGAGAGUCGUCGUGGACUGCGCGGCUUGAGGGCGGCAGGGGUUGGUGGAAUUCCCGGUGUAGUGGUGAAAUGCGUAGAGAUCGGGAGGAACACCCGUGGCGAAGGCGGCCAACUGGGCCGGCCCUGACGGCUGAGGCGCGAAGGCGUGGGGAGCAAACGGGG
rnacentral:rRNA from 1 species